AUGUCUGGGCGUGGCAAGGGCGGCAAGGGGCUCGGCAAGGGCGGCGCCAAGCGCCACCGGAAGGUGCUCCGGGACAACAUCCAGGGCAUCACCAAGCCGGCGAUCCGGAGGCUGGCCAGGAGGGGCGGUGUGAAGCGCAUCUCGGGGCUCAUCUACGAGGAGACCCGCGGCGUCCUCAAGAUCUUCCUCGAGAACGUCAUCCGCGACGCCGUCACCUACACCGAGCACGCCCGCCGCAAGACCGUCACCGCCAUGGACGUCGUGUACGCCCUCAAGCGCCAGGGCCGCACCCUCUACGGCUUCGGCGGCUGA
rnacentral:rRNA from 1 species